rnacentral:misc_RNA from 1 species
UGUCGUGCCAGUGCCAGCUGUAACACGCAUACACUUCUUAUUUCCCUUGAUUGAAUGCAUAUUAGGAAGUCCAAGUGAUCAUUACUAAUCUAUUACAAAAGUGUGCUCUUUCAAGUAAACAUUGUAGUAAAAUGCCAUUAUAACAUAUAUCUGAGUGAUCCAAUGCCUGUAUUAUAGAAGCGAAGGGUAGGGUUUGACCCAUAUCCUCCAACCGCUUCGAUAA